UAAAUAAAUAGGUGUUUUGUUAUUAUAAAAACAACUAUUAACCUCGUUCUUAAAAAAAAUCAUUUCUUGUUCCGAAAUAGUCCAACAAAUCAUGAAUUAAACAGCCUAUAAAUGGCUCGCGCAUUCGCUGUUUGGGUUUGCAAGUUCAAAGCGAAAGUGGCAAUUAUGGGAAGCUAAGUAGCUGCGUUAUAGGAAAAUAGACAUGCAUAAAUAGGUAGUUACUAUUAUAAAACAACUGUCUCGGUUUUCAAAAUUAAUCUCUUGUCCCGGAAUAUAUUGUCUAAUGCGUGAAUAAAAUAGCCUACAUCGCUAGCGCAUUGACUAGAUUAUUUGGGUUUGCAAGUUCAAAGCGAAAGUGUCAACUAUGGGAAGCUAUGUCGGAUCCGCGUUAUAGAGAGAUAAAGAUGAAUAAAUUGGGAGUUUAUUAUUAUAAAAGAACCACUAACAUCGUUCUUAAAAAAUCAUUUAAUUUUUCUCAGUUCCGAAAUAGUCCAAUCAAGAAUAUUCAUGAAUUAGACAGCCUAUAAAUGGCCAGCGUAUUGGACCAUGCAUGAUGGCUGUUUGGAUUCGCAAGUUCAAAGCGAAAGUGACAACUAUGGAAAGCUAUAGCUGCGUUAUAGGGAGAUAUAGAUGCAGAAAUAGGGAAUUUAUUAUUAUAAAAGAACUGUAUCGUUCUUAAAAAGUCAUAUUUUGUCCAAAAAUAGUAAAAUAAAUCAUGAAUAAAACAGCCUAGAUGGUUAGCGCAUUCAUUCCAACAUGGCUAGAUGGCAGUUUGGGUCUACAAGUUGAAAGCGAAAGUGUCAACUAUGAAAAACUAUAGCUACGUUAUAGAUAGAUAGAGAUGGAUAAAUGGAUAGGUUUACUAUUAUAAAACAACUGACUCGUUGCUAAAAAACUUUUUUGCUCUAGAAUUGUCUAAUUCGUGAAUAAAAUAGCCUACAUUGCCAGCGCAUUGUUGAAGGAUUAUGUAUAGAUUUGCAAGUUGAAAGCGAAAGUGCCAACUAUGGGAGCUAUAGCUGCGUUAUAGAUAGACUGAGAUGGAUAAAUUGAUAAUAGUUUACUAUUAUAAAACAACUGCUUCGUUAAAAUUUUUUGUCUUACAGAAUUAUCUAAUUCGUGAAUAAAGUCACCUAUAGACAUCGCUAUAGCGCAUUAAAGCCUAAAGGAUUAUUUGGAUUUGCAGCUCAAAGCGAAAGUGUCAACUAUGUUUAUGGGAAGUCAUGCAGGCUGCGUUAUAGAGAGAUCGAAAUGGAUAAAUAGGGAGUUUGUUAUUAUAAAAAACUACUAACCUCGAUCUUUAAGAAAUCAUUUUUCGUUUUGAAAAUAGUCCAAUAAUUCAUGAUGAUUAAACAGCCUUGAUGGUUAGCGCAUUGGCUGUUUGGGCAUGCAAGUUCGAAGCGAAAGUUUUAACUAUGGCAAGUCAUAGCCGUUAACUUAUAGAGAGAUAUUAGGGAUG